UCAGAAUGUAUAUAUUUAAACAAACAAACCGUGUUUUCCUCACCUGUAGCUAUCUUGGCUUUGUGGUGCUUGCACGAGUAGAAAACACUUCAAUGAGCCUGUUCAGCAAAGAUGAUUCUGAAUGUUCUAGGAAAAGUCUAUACAAACUACGCAAAAGGACAAGGUGUAGUUAAAUGUUCAGACUGCUUCAGCAACUGUACCUACCCUGUGCAUUUGCACCUGCAGCAGAAGAGUGCUCAGGCAAGCUGAGAUAGCUGAGAGAAAGCAAUUCACUGAGUCUGUUGCUGGAGUAUCUGCAUGAUUCAUCGUUCCUGCUGCAUAAAGGAGGAGCUUUGUUUUCCCUGAGCAUCCAACUCACCCUUGAUAUUCUGUUUCAAGAAGGCUUCCAGAUAUUGCAGGGGGAGAACAGAGCCUCUGGAAAGGCCAGGAGGAAUGAUCUAAAAACGAAGGCUCAGGUUCUAACUUAAGUGGAAGCUUAUCUUGCAGAGUGGAUGUGCCCGAUGUUGGUUAUUUUAGAGUCCCGCUGCACAUAUAUACUCCUGAACUGUUAAGUUCAACGUAAAUGAAUGUAGAAGUAUGUUGAAUUUAGAAGUUAAACAGCAUUACUAAGGGGGGAAAAAAGAGCAUGAGUUUAUGUGCUGUAAAACUGUAAUAAAAUUAUUUUACAUGUGCCCUGAGCAGCUGUUGAUGUUUAGCUUAUAUGGUGCUCUUGCAUACCCCUCUAAUUUUAUAACAUUGGAACUGAGUUAAAGGGAAUCAAAAUAUGGCUUUUUUUGUUGUUCGUUUGUUUUUUUAACCUCCGAGGCUCUCUAGAAGUGUGAUGGUAGAUGAGGCACCCACAUGUAAGAUGGGUUUAAAUUAACUAGUCUGCGUAUGGCUAAUGCAUUAACUGUGUUGUUACAGGCCAACUACAAGUGUCUGAAUAAAAGUAUUGGUGAUUAGCUUUUGCA